rnacentral:rRNA from 1 species
UGAACGCUGGCGGCGUGCUUAACACAUGCAAGUCGAACGAACCUUCGGGUUAGUGGCGGACGGGUGAGUAACGCGUGGGAAUCUGCCCUCAGGAGGGGGAUAACGGCCGGAAACGGCCGCUAAUACCCCAUAUGCCGAGAGGUGAAACGAAUUUCGCCUGAGGAUGAGCCCGCGUCUGAUUAGCUAGUUGGUGAGGUAAUGGCUCACCAAGGCAUCGAUCAGUAGCUGGUCUGAGAGGAUGAUCAGCCACACUGGGACUGAGACACGGCCCAGACUCCUACGGGAGGCAGCAGUGGGGAAUUUUCCGCAAUGGGCGCAAGCCUGACGGAGCAACGCCGCGUGAGGGAUGAAGGCCUCUGGGCUGUAAACCUCUUUUCUCAAGGAAGAAGAUCUGACGGUACUUGAGGAAUAAGCCACGGCUAAUUCCGUGCCAGCAGCCGCGGUAAUCUGAUGGCGCGAGG